UACGAAGGGGGCUAGCGUUGCUCGGAAUCACUGGGCGUAAAGGGUGCGUAGGCGGGUCUUUUAAGUCAGGGGUGAAAUCCUGGAGCUCAACUCCAGAACUGCCUUUGAUACUGAGGAUCUUGAGUUCGGGAGAGGUGAGUGGAACUGCGAGUGUAGAGGUGAAAAUUCGUAGAUAUUCGCAAGAACACCAGUGGCGAAGGCGGCUCACUGGCCCGAUACUGACGCUGAGGCACGAAAGCGUGGGGAGCAAACAGGG
rnacentral:rRNA from 1 species